GCUUAUAAAGCUAAACUAUAGCAUUGGUCUUGUAAACCAAAGGUUGAGGUAACUCUCUAUAAGCU
rnacentral:tRNA from 1 species